rnacentral:rRNA from 1 species
UAGGGAAUAUUGCUUAAUGGGCGAAAGCCUGAAGCAGCAACGCCGCGUGAACGAAGAAGGCUUUCGGGUCGUAAAGUUCUUUUACGUGGGAUGAGGAAGGACAGUACCACGAGAAUAAGUCUCGGCUAACUACGUGCCAGCAGCCGCGGUAAAACGUAGGAGACGAGCGUUAUCCGGAUUUACUGGGCGUAAAGCGCGUGUAGGAGGCGCUACAAGUUGGAUGUGAAAGCUCCCGGCUUAACUGGGAGAGGUCGUUCAAGACUGUAGGGCUAGAGUGAGGCAGAGGUAGAUGGAACUCCGGGAGUAGUGGUGGAAUGCGUAGAUAUCCGGAAGAACACCAGAGGCGAAAGCGAUCUACUGGGCCUAAACUGACACUGAGACGCGAAAGCCAGGGUAGCAAACGG